AACGAACGCUGGCGGCAUGCCUAACACAUGCAAGUCGAACGAGACCUCCGUGUCUUGUUGCGCUCGGGUGCGUAACGCGUGGGAACUUGCCCUUAGGUUCCGAAUACUUCCCCGUAAGGGGUGCUAAUACCGGAUAAUUUCUUCGCAUCAAAGAUUUACCGCCUUGGGAUGGGCCCGGGUUGGUUUAGCUUGUUGGUAGGGUAAAAGCCUACCAAGGCGUCGAUCCUUAGCUGGUCUGAGAGGAUGACCAGCCACACUGGGACUGAGACACGGCCGAGACUACUACGGGAGGGGGGAGUGGGGAAUAUUGGACAAUGGGCGAAAGCCUGAUCCAGCAAUGCCGGGUGAGUGAUGAAGGCCUUAGGGUUGUAAAGCUCUUUUACCCGGGAUGGUAAUGACAGUACCGGGAGAAUAAGCGCCGGCUAACUCCGUG
rnacentral:rRNA from 1 species